rnacentral:rRNA from 1 species
AACGAACGCUGGCGGCAUGCCUAACACAUGCCAGUCGAACGAGACCUUCGGGUCUAGUGGCGCAAGGGUGCGUAACGCGUGGGAACCUGCCCUUAGGUUCGGACUAACUCCCCGAAAGGGGUGCUAAUACCGGAUAAUGUCUUCGGACCAAAGAUUUCUCGCCUUUGGAUGGGCCCUCGUUGGAUUAGCUAGUUGUUAGGGUAUAAGCCUCCCAAGGCUACGAUCCAUCGCUGGUCUGAGAGGAUGAUCAGCCACACUGGGACGUCGACACGGCCGAGACUCCUACGGGAGGCAGCAGUGCGGAAUAUUGAACAAUGGGCGAAAGCCUAAUACAGCCACGCCGCGAGAGUGAUUGAUGAGUUAGGGUUGUAAAUCUCUUUUACCCGAGAUGAUAAUGACAGUCCCGAGAGAAUAAGCUCCGCCUAACACCAU